rnacentral:rRNA from 1 species
ACGCUAAUACCGCAUAUUCUGUGAGCAGGAAAGCAGGGGAUCGCAAGACCUUGCGCUCUGGGAGCGGCCGAUGUCGGAUUAGCUAGUUGGUGGGGUAAAGGCCUACCAAGGCGACGAUCCGUAGCGGGUCUGAGAGGAUGAUCCGCCACACUGGGACUGAGACACGGCCCAGACUCCUACGGGAGGCAGCAGUGGGGAAUUUUGGACAAUGGGCGAAAGCCUGAUCUAGCCAUGCCGCGUGAGUGAAGAAGGCCUUCGGGUUGUAAAGCUCUUUCGGUGGGGAAGAAAUUGCACGGGUUAAUACCCUGUGUAGAUGACGGUACCUGGAGAAGAAGCACCGGCUAACUACGUGCCAGCAGCCGCGGUAAUACGUAGGGUGCGAGCGUUAAUCGGAAUUACUGGGCGUAAAGCGUGCGCAGGCGGU